UAGAGUUUGAUCCUGGCUCAGAACGAACGCUGGCGGCAGGCUUAACACAUGCAAGUCGAGCGCCCCGCAAGGGGAGCGGCAGACGGGUGAGUAACGCGUGGGAACAUACCCUUUGGUUCGGAAUAACUCAGGGAAACUUGAGCUAAUACCGGAUACGUCCGUAAGGAGAAAGAUUUAUCGCCAAAGGAUUGGCCCGCGUCCGAUUAGCUAGUUGGUGAGGUAACGGCUCACCAAGGCUACGAUCGGUAGCUGGUCUGAGAGGAUGAUCAGCCACAUUGGGACUGAGACACGGCCCAAACUCCUACGGGAG
rnacentral:rRNA from 1 species